AACGAAGCUGCAGGAUGUCGGUGGUGCGACGAAGUCAUUGGGACUUCUAUUCAGCGGCACUGACAAUUGACGAAUGUGCUGUCUUCCCAUGAAUUUGGUUGUACCAGUUUUGACAGGAUCUUCACUGAUGGUCUCGAUUGGCGAUUUCGUUCGAAAUUGCAUUGGGUUGGUUUUUGCGGUGUACGCUUGUCACAUUGUGUUGCUCUGUUCAUGUGAUCUCAGGUUUUAGUGAGUAAUUCCAUAGGGCGAACGGCAAGAUGGGGAUGUGAGGUUGGGAGUGUGCAAUUUCAUGUGGAGAUGAGAAUUCGUGAGAUGUUAGGUAUAUUUUGUUUUGUGUCAGGGUUGGUAGUAUCUGAGAAACGCUCUCACAGGGCAGAAGUUUUUUUUAGGGUUUGGAAGCAAUUGGGAGCUUGAGACGUCAUGAUAUGAAUACACCACGGAAUGUUUGGCUGCCGGGGGCUGGUGUGUGGGCAUGCUUACCGCCGUCUUCAGAUGUCACCGACUCUGUUGAACGCGAUUCUUCGUCGCCUCUGAAGGCCAAUGGGAAUUCUUCACAAUGCUGUGAUUGGAGGGUUCACGGAAAUCACAGGCGGAAGCGAAGAAGAACUUCAAGCUCGCCUGCUUCACGCUCUCGGAAAGAUACUGGUCUUGAUUUAGGGUAUUCAGUUUCACGUGGGAAGGAGAACAACCUUGUUUGUAUGAACGCCGAAGUUGAGGAAUCAGGUCCAGUGUUCAGGGACGAGAGUAUUAUAAGUAGAAUACGAAAUGGCGAUCAAGGUGCAUCAACUUCUUCUCAGGAAGUGAUGUGCCCGAUUUGCCUGGCUAAUAUCGAAGAAUCUACAGAAGCUGUCCUGCAAUGGUGCAUGCACAGAUUUUGUACCCAUUGUAUAGAGGAGUGGAGUCGAGUUCGUCGAGUGUGUCCCUUGUGCAAAGCAGAAUAUCGUGGCUGGUAUUACAGCGUCCAAUCAAAUAACGAAUUUCUGGAGAGGAUCUUACCGCCUGUUCCAGAGUCGAAUACUCAGCUUUCUCAAGGAGAUGUGCCUGCUAGGCAAGCAUUUUCGAGAUUUCAUCUAUGGAGAGACCCCAGAUUGAUACGCCAGGAGAGCGGUAGAAGGCGGAGGCCACUUCAUCUUGGACGUCAGGGCGUAGCACCGGAUGGAGCUGCAUCACGAUCGGGAUCAUUUCCGACGCAGCGCUCUUUUGGUCUUCCUAGACAACAUCAAAGUGCUGAAGCGAUGAGGCAUUUUGAGGAGCAAGCUGCAGCGAAGGUGUUGCGAUGGCGACGAAGCAUUUACGACAAGAAUUUGAAAGCUCGUCCUUUCGAAGUCGGAAAACGAUUAAUGAGCACCAAGGAUGCUAAAGAAAGAGCUGAACGGAGGUUGGAGCCCUGGAUACGUCGUGAAUUGCAAGCUGUGGUGCCGAAUUCCGAUCAUGAUUUCUUAGUUCGUUUGAUUUUAGGCAUAUGGUUUGCAUCGAAUAGUGAGGCUUCUCACACAUCUCAAAAACAAGGGAGAUUAGGCGGACAAUAUGCGACUAGCAGCAGACAUGCGGCAGAUUCAAUUGAAGUCGAGGCUUUUGAAGCGAAUGCUAUUAAAGAGCUGAAGCGAUUUCUAGAUGAUAAGGCUGAAUUGUUUUGGCAUGAGUUGCGUUCUUUUGCAGAAAGUCCCUUUACAAUGCAAGCGUACGAUACAGUCGUCGUCUAUACUAGGCAUGAUGAUGGGAGGCGUGCUAACUACAGGCCAGAUAGAAGAUUGUAAUACCAAGACAGCACACGAAAUUCAAGACGGAGAUUUGACCUUUUUGGGUUCAAGGUUGAUGUUGAGACCUGUUGACUUAAGGAUGAGCUGCCUUAUUGAGAAUAGUUAGUUAAGUCUCAGAGGUGGAGGAGGUAAUUUUUUUAGUUGCGGAGAAGGUAAAUACAUCUCAUCAUCCUGGCAGUGAUCCACAUCAAAGGUCACAGGCUUGAGUAAACAGAGACUCAAGGGCAUUGAAACAAAAGAAACGAUCACACACCAAUCUUCCAAUUGCCUAAAUUGUUGGCAGUUGUCCAACUGCAAGUGGUCAAGCAUUAUUCAGUUUUGGCUGAAGGCGUCAAGGUUCUAGUCGGAUUGAGGAUUGAAAUAGACGCCUCCUGACAACUCAAGAGCCAACAUCCAGUAACAUUGUCAAGGGCGUGGAGCAGAGGGUGUUCGAUUGAAGUGUAUGAGCAUGCUCAAAAUGUGGACGUGGGAUUCUUAUUUGGCUUCUCUUUCGAGAACCGGAUAUUGUACUACGCAUAAAACGAGGAUGCUGGACCAACGUACAAUCAAAAAAACAGCAGGACGCUGACUCCGCUCAAUUGAUUUUUACAUGUAAAUUAAAUAUACUUGUAAUGGAGAUAUUACUAAAAUUUGAAAGAA